GGUUAAGCGACUAAGCGUACACGGUGGAUGCCCUGGCAGUCAGAGGCGAUGAAGGACGUGCUAAUCUGCGAUAAGCGUCGGUAAGGUGAUAUGAACCGUUAUAACCGGCGAUUUCCGAAUGGGGAAACCCAGUGUGAUUCGUCACACUAUCAUUAACUGAAUCCAUAGGUUAAUGAGGCGAACCGGGGGAACUGAAACAUCUAAGUACCCCGAGGAAAAGAAAUCAACCGAGAUUCCCCCAGUAGCGGCGAGCGAACGGGGAGGAGCCCAGAGCCUGAAUCAGUGUGUGUGUUAGUGGAAGCGUCUGGAAAGGCGCGCGAUACAGGGUGACAGCCCCGUACACAAAAAUGCACAUGCUGUGAGCUCGAUGAGUAGGGCGGGACACGUGGUAUCCUGUCUGAAUAUGGGGGGACCAUCCUCCAAGGCUAAAUACUCCUGACUGACCGAUAGUGAACCAGUACCGUGAGGGAAAGGCGAAAAGAACCCCGGCGAGGGGAGUGAAAAAGAACCUGAAACCGUGUACGUACAAGCAGUGGGAGCACGCUUAGGCGUGUGACUGCGUACCUUUUGUAUAAUGGGUCAGCGACUUAUAUUCUGUAGCAAGGUUAACCGAAUAGGGGAGCCGAAGGGAAACCGAGUCUUAACUGGGCGUUAAGUUGCAGGGUAUAGACCCGAAACCCGGUGAUCUAGCCAUGGGCAGGUUGAAGGUUGGGUAACACUAACUGGAGGACCGAACCGACUAAUGUUGAAAAAUUAGCGGAUGACUUGUGGCUGGGGGUGAAAGGCCAAUCAAACCGGGAGAUAGCUGGUUCUCCCCGAAAGCUAUUUAGGUAGCGCCUCGUGAAUUCAUCUCCGGGGGUAGAGCACUGUUUCGGCAAGGGGGUCAUCCCGACUUACCAACCCGAUGCAAACUGCGAAUACCGGAGAAUGUUAUCACGGGAGACACACGGCGGGUGCUAACGUCCGUCGUGAAGAGGGAAACAACCCAGACCGCCAGCUAAGGUCCCAAAGUCAUGGUUAAGUGGGAAACGAUGUGGGAAGGCCCAGACAGCCAGGAUGUUGGCUUAGAAGCAGCCAUCAUUUAAAGAAAGCGUAAUAGCUCACUGGUCGAGUCGGCCUGCGCGGAAGAUGUAACGGGGCUAAACCAUGCACCGAAGCUGCGGCAGCGACGCUGAUGCGUUGUUGGGUAGGGGAGCGUUCUGUAAGCCUGCGAAGGUGUGCUGUGAGGCAUGCUGGAGGUAUCAGAAGUGCGAAUGCUGACAUAAGUAACGAUAAAGCGGGUGAAAAGCCCGCUCGCCGGAAGACCAAGGGUUCCUGUCCAACGUUAAUCGGGGCAGGGUGAGUCGACCCCUAAGGCGAGGCCGAAAGGCGUAGUCGAUGGGAAACAGGUUAAUAUUCCUGUACUUGGUGUUACUGCGAAGGGGGGACGGAGAAGGCUAUGUUGGCCGGGCGACGGUUGUCCCGGUUUAAGCGUGUAGGCUGGUUUUCCAGGCAAAUCCGGAAAAUCAAGGCUGAGGCGUGAUGACGAGGCACUACGGUGCUGAAGCAACAAAUGCCCUGCUUCCAGGAAAAGCCUCUAAGCAUCAGGUAACAUCAAAUCGUACCCCAAACCGACACAGGUGGUCAGGUAGAGAAUACCAAGGCGCUUGAGAGAACUCGGGUGAAGGAACUAGGCAAAAUGGUGCCGUAACUUCGGGAGAAGG
rnacentral:rRNA from 1 species